GCAAAACGCGAAGAACCUUACCUACCCUUGACAUGUCUGGAAUCCUUUAGAGAUAGAGGAGUGCUCGCAAGAGAACCGGAACACAGGUGCUGCAUGGCUGUCGUCAGCUCGUGUCGUGAGAUGUUGGGUUAAGUCCCGCAACGAGCGCAACCCUUGUCAUUAGUUGCUACGAAAGGGCACUCUAAUGAGACUGCCGGUGACAAACCGGAGGAAGGUGGGGAUGACGUCAAGUCCUCAUGGCCCUUAUGGGUAGGGCUUCACACGUCAUACAAUGGUCGGGACAGAGGGUUGCCAACCCGCGAGGGGGAGCCAAUCUCAGAAACCCGAACUCGUAGUCCGGAUUGCAGGCUGCAACUCGCCUGCAUGAAGUCGGAAUCGCUAGUAAUCGCGGAUCAGAAUGUCGCGGUGAAUACGUUCCCGGGUC
rnacentral:rRNA from 1 species